UACGGAGGGUGCGAGCGUUGUUCGGAAUCACUGGGCGUAAAGCGCGUGUAGGCGGUUCGUUAAGUCUGGUGUGAAAGCCCGGGGCUCACCCCCGGAAGAGCACUGGAAACUGGCGAACUCGAGUCCCGGAGAGGAGAGUGGAAUUCCUGGUGUAGCGGUGAAAUGCGUAGAUAUCAGGAGGAACACCGGUGGCGAAGGCGGCUCUCUGGACGGUGACUGACGCUGAGACGCGAAAGCGUGGGGAGCAAACAGG
rnacentral:rRNA from 1 species